GACGAACGCUGGCGGCGUGCUAAACACAUGCAAGUCGAACGAUGAAGAAGAGAAACGCGAACUUCGGUUCAAAUUUCACUUCGGAUUAGUGGCAGACGGGUGAGUAACGCGUGAGCAACCUACCUCUUACAAAGGGAUAGCCUCGGGAAACCGUGAUUAAUACCAUAUGACACAUUCAUAAGGCAUCUUAAGAAUGUUAAAGCUACGGCGGUAAGAGAUGGGCUCGCGUCCCAUUAGCUAGUUGGUGAGGUAACGGCCCACCAAGGCGACGAUGGGUAACCGGCCUGAGAGGGUGAACGGUCACAUUGGAACUGAGACACGGUCCAAACUCCUACGGGAGGCAGCAGUGGGGAAUAUUGCACAAUGGAGGGAACUCUGAUGCAGCGACGCCGCGUGAGCGAUGAAGGAAUUCGUUUCGUAAAGCUCUGUUCUAUGGGAAGAAAAGGACUGUACCAUAGGAGAAAGCCCCGGCUAAAUACGUG
rnacentral:rRNA from 1 species